rnacentral:rRNA from 1 species
AUUGAACGCUGGCGGCAUGCUUUACACAUGCAAGUCGAACGGCAGCGCGGGCUUCGGCCUGGCGGCGAGUGGCGAACGGGUGAGUAAUGCAUCGGAACGUGCCCAGUAGUGGGGGAUAGCCCGGCGAAAGCCGGAUUAAUACCGCAUACGACCUGACGGUGAAAGCGGGGGACCGAAAGGCCUCGCGCUAUUGGAGCGGCCGAUGUCGGAUUAGCUAGUUGGUGGGGUAAAGGCUUACCAAGGCGACGAUCCGUAGCUGGUCUGAGAGGGCGACCGGCCACACUGGGACUGAGACACGGCCCAGACUCCUACGGGAGGCAGCGGUGGGGAAUUUUGGACAAUGGGGGCAACCCUGAUCCAGCCAUGCCGCGUGCGGGAAGAAGGCCUUCGGGUUGUAAACCGCUUUUGUUCGGGAAGAAAUACUCUGGGCUAAUACCCCGGGGGGAUGACGGUACCGGAAGAAUAAGCACCGGCUAACUACGUG